CGGGGGCACCGCCUGCAACACCCCAGGGCCGGGCCUGUGUGUCUGGAUAGUCUGGAAUGUCUGAGGCUUGCUGGUUGCGUCCCUCGUACGUCCUCAACCCCCGCGUCCUCUCCACGCACGCGUUGUUCUGCUUGACGCCUGCGACGGUCCAGCGGCUCCAGCCCUCUCCACCCAAACCCGCAUCGCCCCUCCUCCUCCACCUCCAAAAUUUCCUCGAGCGGUUCCAAGCCCCCCGAUCCCCCGAUUCCCCAAAAUUCACAUCUCCCCCGUGUGGGCGCCGAGCCAGCGGUUCCAACCCCCAAUUCUUGUCAGAGCAGCGGCGGCGUGGGUCAUGGAAAGGGACGAACAAUUCCGGAUCGGAGGAGGGAGCGAGAGAUGGGGAAGAUCCAGUAGGCGGUGGUGGCGCGGGGACGCGACGGUGCUGGUGGAGCACAACGGCACGGGAAGGAACAAAGGAUUGGCCUGUAUAUAUAGUUCGUGGGGUCGUUGCCGCUCGCAGUCGCUGCGGCCCCCGUGGCGGCUGGCUACGGCAUUGCCCUCCGCCUAGGCGGUAGGCGGCAGCUGCCGGGCGGUCGCGGGCCCGGCCAUGCUCGGGGCAGCCAGCGUCGCGGGGGCUGCACAACUACGUCGCCGGCUGCGACGACCCCACCAAGCUGCAGACAAGCGUCAGCGAGGUGGAGGCCAUCGCAAGCAAGUGAGUUUGGAUUGCCCUGUAUAGUUGAUGCGUUCGUUUCAGGUGUGGACUUAUAGUAGUUAGUACACAAGAUGCAGCCUUCAAAGUUCAAAGGAGAUCUCUGUGAGUUGUAUGCCAGGUGAGUAUCGCUGCCCUUGCGGUCUGCAUUUGUUUCCCAUGACUGUGAACAUGGCUAUAUGCACACAGAAUGACCAAAUAAGUAUUGACUUCUAUGUUCAGUGGUAAUUGUAUAGCGAACUAAUCAUAUGUGUUCUAGGUGCCAAGUUGUCCUGGUUAUCCGGUAUCCUACAUGGCUACACCUCUCUUAGCAAUCACCCCCUCCUAACCUAAGAAGGAGUCAGUUUUGACAUCUUAUACGUCAACAUGCAAAGUUAUUAUUAUAAUAUUUCUGUAAAUGCACAGAUCUAUGCUAUUUUGGAAAUACUUUGAUAUCCAGUCAUAUCAUUUAAUAUUUCUGUAAUCUACACAGUUGAAAGAUUUUGCCAGUCCAAGUGAGAAGGAUUUAACUGAACAUUUCUCAUAUGAUUCUUUUUUUUUCCAGAAUUUUGAACUUCUGGGACAUUAAGUUUACUCGGUCCGUGAAUGUCUUACUAUCUUUUUAGCAAGCACCUAUAAAUUGCCCAUGUCGAACCUUCAAUCUUUAGAGAACUGAUACUAUCUACGACCUUGCAGUUCUGUAGUUUGAUAUUUGCUGUGAUUUACCCUCCUGAACAUCAGUCAUUAGCUGAAAAUUCAUAGGAAAUUCAUGACAAGUUUUACCGUCCCCUUAUUUAGUUAUUAUCUCAAUACAAUUGACCAGUGCCAAAAUGAUUCUGUUCCCUCAAUCAUGUCUGUUGUUCUCUGAAAAUUCAUACAGCAGUCAGCAGUCCAAUUAAUAUAAACAAAUAUAUUUACUGCUGGUUUUUGGUUGUUCGCCUUUGUUGAAGCUGCUAUAAGAAUGAGCCAUGCAGAUGCAUUUCUUCUUAGCGUAAUUAAUACGUCAUACGUCAGCAAUAUGUAUUUGUUUUAUUCUGAUUUUCCAAGAUCAUUCCAGGAUUUUACCUCCUUGCCAAAGUAGAAGAGGCUGCAGACAAACCUAUUUAUAGGUGGACCCAUCAGAUUGUUAGUGGCCAUACUCUUAAGCAUCUAUGUGCUGCAAAAGAUGUGUAUAGUACAUAAACAAGGUUUCAAGGGUUAAAAUCAAUUGUGGUGCCACAUUUUAUUCUUAGUACAGCAAGUCCAAAUUGUGUGAGCUUUUUUUUUCUGCAAAUUAACGGACCAGCAAGUAUUAUAAUUGUGCUGAGUGCUGACCACUCCACCCCCAAAUGAACCGAAGACAUGCAUACAGAUUUCCCAAAUAGAUUUUUAGAAUUUGUGAUAUAAUGCCAUGCUUCUAAACUUGGGACAAUAAAUAAUAGAGUUGUGUCCUGUUUUAACAAAGGUAUGUUUGAUUAAUCAUACACAAACCAGUUAAUCUUUUAUUUGGAUGCUAAUUUGCUUUUUAUUGAAAGAGCAUUCUUUCUAUCCUUUUGUCCACUACCGGCUAACCUCUUGCCUAAUUUGGUGGACUCUACAUGAGUAUUUUCCCCUUAUUUCAGAAUAUAGACUGUCUUCUUUUUUUGGAUUGUUCCCACCUGGUGGUGGCAAAGCUAUUCGUUGCUGCCUGAAGGUAUGCUUCUGCACCUAACAUGUAUUGCUCGUGGUGUGUAAAUGGUCUAUUCCGGUUCCAAACUAACUAUGGAUCUAAUGAUGAGGGAUAGAAAAAUUCAUGACCAACUUGUGAUGUCUGGAAUUCUGUUCAUAACCUGAAUCUGUCAACAGCCACCUAUGUUUUUCCAGUGUAUCGGUGAUCUGUAGUUUUGUACUAAGGUGAGCAGGAUACAACCAAGAGAUGAUGUGUGCUUCUAGCCUAAACUCAAUAUGGAUAUUUAGUCCUGUUACUUGGUUUGGGAGAUCCAUGGCUGAUAACGAAGUGCGGUUUUGAUUUCAAAAUUUACCGCACACAAGUCAACAUUGCCUUCGAUAGUAGUGUACAAAUAGAAGUUCAGAAGUCCUCCAAUUUUUUGUUUAUGCUCUUCGGAGAUCAGUUGAAUAAGAAGUACUUAGGUGUCCUGUACCAUUUGGGCAUGACUUUAAAUUUAGGUGAACUCAGUCAGCUGCUUGAAUAUAGAAAAUCUACUAAACGGGGUUUGCAUCUGAUAUUCGCAAACUUCCUCGUGCCUAUUUAAUAACUGAAGAUCGACAAUUAGUAUGCUUUAAUUUAUAAUAAAGUUUGUUAUCAUUGUGUCUUAAAAUGGUUUUAACUAUCACUUGUUUAAUCUUGUGAACAACUUUGGUUCAAAAUGCUUGGACAUGUGCAGUCAAGGGGGUUGGUCUCAGGAAGAGUGAAGGACAAACCGGAGGAGGGAAUCAUCACUAUGUAAUGCUGAAGACAUUGCAGUUGAAGUUGACGCUCUAUUGUAGGUUGGGUGUGUGUUGUAGUUUUUUUAAAAGGUUGGAGGUGUGUUGUAGAACGCGCCGGAGGUUGCAUGGGGCUCGUUGGAGAGAUACAAUCGAAAAUCACACGGGCAUUGCACCCAACGCUUGUAUUCAUGAACUGAAGCAAAUGAGACAUGAUAUUAGUUUUUCCAUUAGCAGCAAUAAUUUUGAUGUCUCCACAA